rfam:Brugia malayi, FR3, WGS project CAPY01000000 data, contig: ctg1512223
CACCGCCCGUCGCUGCCCGGGACUGAGCCGUUUCGAGAAAAGCGGAGACUGCUGUUUCAAUACCUUUCAAGGGUAGAGAUUCUUUGGUGGAAACUGCUUUAAUCGCAGUGGCUUGAACCGGGCAAAAGUCGUAACAAGGUUUCCGUAAAAAAAAGAAA